AGUGAACGCUGGCGGUGGGCCUAACACAUGCAAGUCGAACGGCAGCACAGUAAGAGCUUGCUCUUACGGGUGGCGAGUGGCGGACGGGUGAGGAAUACAUCGGAAUCUACUUUUUCGUGGGGGAUAACGUAGGGAAACUUACGCUAAUACCGCAUACGACCUACGGGUGAAAGUAGGGGAUCUUCGGACCUUGCGCGAUUGAAUGAGCCGAUGUCGGAUUAGCUAGUUGGCGGGGUAAAGGCCCACCAAGGCGACGAUCCGUAGCUGGUCUGAGAGGAUGAUCAGCCACACUGGAACUGAGACACGGUCCAGACUCCUACGGGAGGCAGCAGUGGGGAAUAUUGGACAAUGGGCGCAAGCCUGAUCCAGCCAUACCGCGUGGGUGAAGAAGGCCUUCGGGUUGUAAAGCCCUUUUGUUGGGAAAGAAAAGCAGCAGGUUAAUACCCCGCUGUUCUGACGGUACCCAAAGAAUAAGCACCGGCUAACUUCGUG
rnacentral:rRNA from 1 species